UACAACCUGGACUUUCUCUUACAUAGUGCCAGGGACGUAGAAUGGGUACAACCUGGACUUCCAUACUAUCUCAUGCCGUAGCAUCAUCAUAUCAUAUGAGGACUAAAGGGUCAUCCAAUAACCAAUCCACAUCAACAUCAUAAAUGCAAUGCAACAUAUUCGUGGAUUCUAAUGCAAACAACCUAUUUCAUCACAUGGCAUUCAUG
rnacentral:lncRNA from 1 species